rnacentral:tRNA from 1 species
GCUCCGAUAGUGUAGCACGGCCAAUCAUACAGGACUCUCACUCCUGCGACUUGGGUUCGAAUCCCCAUCGGAGCACCA